rnacentral:rRNA from 1 species
GACGAACGCUGGCGGCGUGCCUAAUACAUGCAAGUCGAACGCUUCUUUCCUCCCGAGUGCUUGCCCUCAAUUGGAAAGCGGAGUGGCGGACGGGUGAGUAACACGUGGGUAACCUACCCAUCAGAGGGGGAUAACACUUGGAAACAGGUGCUAAUACCGCAUAACAGUUUAUGCCGCAUGGCAUAAGAGUGAAAGGCGCUUUCUGGUGUCGCUGAUGGAUGGACCCGCGGUGCAUUAGCUAGUUGGUGAGGUAACGGCUCACCAAGGCCACGAUGCAUAGCCGACCUGAGAGGGUGAUCGGCCACACUGGGACUGAGACACGGCCCAGACUCCUACGGGAGGCAGCAGUAGGGAAUCUUCGGCAAUGGACGAAAGUCUGACCGAGCAACGCCGCGUGAGUGAAGAAGGUGUUCGGAUCGUAAAACUCUGUUGUUAGGGAAGAACAAGGACGUUAGUAACUGAACGUCCCCUGACGGUAUCUAACCAGAAAGCCACGGCUAACUACGUG